rnacentral:misc_RNA from 1 species
CCUGCACGUCAAGGCAAAUGAAUGACAUCACAUGUGGAAAAAACUAAGAAAGAAUAAUUGUAUAGGUUCAGAGGACAAAGUUAAGGGUUACAAAACCCAUGGUAUAGCUGCAUUGGUAGCUUCAAUAAAUAAUUGAUGAUUAUAGUGGAUUAAUUGAGACAACAAUAAGAACAAACACUGACAGCUACAAUCAUUAAUAACUAAAACCUAUGAGAAAACUCACAUUCCAAUCUAAUGUUGUAACAUCUUUGCUCUUCUCAUU